CUCUCGGUAGCCAAGUUGGUUUAAGGCGCCAGACUGUAAAUCUGGAGAUCGGGCGUUCGACUCGCCCCCGGGAGA
rnacentral:tRNA from 3 species